UGGGUACUUCUGAUUGAUGAUCUUCUUGUGGUUCAACCAUAGGUAUUUUUAGAUUGGUUUGUAGAUUCUAAACUUCUGUAAGUUUAAUAUUCCUCCCACUGCCUCCAUCUUGGAUGAAUUCAUUUUUCAAGAUAGUGACAUGCCUCCUAACAAAUACCUUUUAUUUAGAAGGAUGGUAGAAGUAGUAUCUAUUAGUUUCCUU
rnacentral:lncRNA from 1 species